GCGGCCACCUAACAUUGAAACCGUUUCCAGUACGAUCACCGAAGUUAAGCAGUGUCGAGCCUGGUCAGUACCUAGAUGGGUGACUGCUUGGGAAUACCAGGUGCUAU